CAGUCGCCGCGGGAAUACGGAGGGUGCAAACGUUGCUCGGAAUUAUUGGGCGUAAAGCGCAUGUAGGCGGCCGAAUAAGUCGGGUGUGAAGGCCCAGGGCUUAACCCUGGAAGUGCACUCGAAACUGCUCGGCUUGAAUAUGGAAGAGGGUCGCGGAAUUCCCGGUGUAGAGGUGAAAUUCGUAGAUAUCGGGAGGAACACCAGUGGCGAAGGCGGCGACCUGGGCCAAUAUUGACGCUGAGAUGCGAAAGCGUGGGGAGCAAACAGGAUUAGAUACCCCAGUAGUCCCUGUCUCUUAUAC
rnacentral:rRNA from 1 species